UACUGUCCAAUGCAAUCGUGUGCAGAGAAAGGAUUUGGACAGUUGUUAUGGCACGAGGCAAGACAAUACCUUCUGUUUUCAGAAGGUUUCACACUACAUGUCUUGUACGUGAAGGGAUUUUUGGCUCCUUUUAGCCCAUCUCACCCUAACCAGAUUUGGUUCUCUGCUGCCUCAAUGUGCCUUACAUUUACUUUGAAGAAAUUAGAGUGUUUGAAGCAGGAUACUUCAGCUAGGAAUAAUGGAAUAGGACUUUGGUUCUAUUCUGUUGGUUUUCGGAACUGUGGGGUUAUAAGAGAGAUGGCCAGGGGCUACAGGUGCCAAUCUUGGAUCAGUGCAAGACAAGCAAAAGCAUUUGCCAAGAAUGUUUUUAUUAAUCAAGAAUGAAAGCCUGAGGUUCUAAGACGUUCAGCUAUUGUCGUUCUGACCAUAAAAGAUGCCAGCUACUGAUCAGAUGGUUUUAUCACGGUGACCUGCUAUGCAGAUUCUGGAAAAUCAGAGUCUUUGGGUUCUGGGUGCAGUAUGAGUGCAAAAUCGAAAUUUACAGGAAUUGACAGUAGGGAACCACCAGGAGUGGAGCCGGUGACUUAAUUUGACUUAAAACAGUAAACCUCACCCAAUCCAGAAAGUGGAAAAAUUUUAUGGAUGGUGGUGCAUGGCUGUUCUUAGUUGGUGGAGAGAUUUGUCUAGAUAAUUCCGAAAUCAUGCAAGACUCCUCCAGCGUCUCUUAGAGAGACAAAUGGCAUUCAGCCACACAAAAUAAAAACAGGUCCCUUACACAUACAUUUCUGCACAUGUGCAACAUUAAACGUAUCAGUGUGUGCCGACAUGCCUGGGUAUUCCAUUGAACCCCAUUUGUAAUAGGGAUUGAGGAUUCCAAAUGUUUUCCAUGAAUGAGGAGUUCCUCACCCUUCACUACUACCUUCUGGCUUGGGCCUACCUCCCGAGAGGCUGGGGAGGAUGU
rnacentral:ncRNA from 1 species